CGACCCCAGGUCAGGCGGGACUACCCGCUGAGUUUAAGCAUAUC
rnacentral:rRNA from 1 species